rnacentral:misc_RNA from 1 species
AGCAGCAGCACCGCCGACAAGCAACCAUGAACCACUACAGCAAGUUGGAAGAGUCGCACAAUGACCAUAACAUGUAUGACGAUGAAGACGAUGAUGAUGAAGACGACGAAGAAGAUGAUGACGGGAAAAUGGUCUACAAGAUGCAGUUCGAGAGACAGAAUGUAGGUUCUGGUAGCGGUAGCGGGGGAGGUGCUGCAUCUACUAAACCUGCAGCCGCGACGACAGCAGGUUCGUUCCUCGGUAUGGUGCAGUAGUUCUAGGCACUGAUCCUUGCCUAACCUUAAAACGAUUGUCGUACUACCCAAAUCUUGCCUCCAUCAUCCUAGUCAUCAUCAUGUGUUUUACUUCUAGUGCUACUUCUGGAUGGUAUGUCCAAUCUUUUGCUAUUUUAUUGAUUUGUUGUGGAAUAAGGAUCCUCUCCGGCGAGGGCGGAAGAGAUCAAAGGCAAAAUAACAGGGAAAGAGAGUGAGUGAGUGAG